UAUUCUUAAAGACAUUCUAUAAGAAGAACAUUUGUUGGCAGCUUUGCAAACCACUGAGCAAAAAAUCAAAAAAAGAAUACAAGAAGAAAUCAUUUUUAAACACUUUCAGCAAACCAAAAAAGGACUUACCAUGCGAACGAUUUAUACCACUCAAAUUAUAUACAUUCUGCUUUCACCUUACAAAAAAAACUACCAUUUUCACAGUACAUGAAGUCAUAUCACCAACUUUAUUCGCUUAUAAUGAGAUUUAUUACGAUUACCUCAAAACAUUCGCUAUGAUGACUUACGGAUAUGGACAUUUCAAAGAUGAAAUUUUCGAAAAGCAGAGGGAUGUUUACGAAAAAAGAGUAAGUGUAAAAGUGUUUCCUUCAAAAAAAAAAAAAAAAAAUUAAAAAUUAAAAA